AGGGAAUUUUCCACAAUGGACGAAAGUCUGAUGGAGCAACGCCGCGUGAACGAUGAAGGUCUUCGGAUUGUAAAGUUCUGUUGUCAGGGACGAACAAGUACCGUUCGAACAGGGCGGUACCUUGACGGUACCUGACGAGAAAGCCACGGCUAACUACGUGCCAGCAGCCGCGGUAAUACGUAGGUGGCAAGCGUUGUCCGGAUUUAUUGGGCGUAAAGCGCGCGCAGGCGGCUAUGGAAGUCUGGUGUGAAAGCCCGGGGCUCAACCCCGGUUCGCAUCGGAAACUGUGUAGCUUGAGUGCAGAAGAGGAAAGCGGUAUUCCACGUGUAGCGGUGAAAUGCGUAGAGAUGUGGAGGAACACCAGUGGCGAAGGCGGCUUUCUGGUCUGUAACUGACGCUGAGGCGCGAAAGCGUGGGGAGCAAAC
rnacentral:rRNA from 1 species